rnacentral:lncRNA from 1 species
CUGGGACUGGAGCCGGCUACCCAAGUAGCUAGAAUACGGUGGACACUCAAAUAAAACUUGUGGAUCACGGGAAACCAGCUGACCCCACCCCUGCCCAAUGUUGGUCAGUUCUAGCUGGAAGUUCUUCUUUAGGUCUGCCCUGCAGACCUCAAGCUGCAGUAAUAGCCUGUCUCUCGAAGAGGAGCUCUAUCUGUCUUUCUUUCAUCCUUGCCCUCCUCCCACCCCCCUGCAGUGGGCACACACACAGACUGCCGGGCAGACUCGGGCUGUGAGAGGAGAUGGGAGCUGCUGACUGUCUCCAUGUCGCCCUGAGUUUGCAUAGGCUGUUCAUUCCACCUAGAAAUGCCUGCUUUUCUGACCCUUCUUUUAUCGUCCUUCAAACUGCCUGCGUGAAGUUCCCCCGCUACUUUGCAAGUCAGUGUCCGGAUCUUGCGUAGACCCACACAGGACUCAUUGC